rfam:Triticum aestivum genome assembly, contig: Triticum_aestivum_CS42_TGACv1_scaffold_061383_1DL
UUUGUACUCCCUCCAUCCGGAAAUACUUGUCGAAGAAAUGCAUAAAAAUAAAUGUAUCUAGAAUUAAAAUGCGUAUAGAUACAUUCAUUCCUCCAACAAGUAUUUUCGGACGGAGGUUGUACUAC